rnacentral:rRNA from 1 species
UCAUGUGAGAACCAUGUUCCCCGUAAACCUAAGGUUUCCGACAGAAGGUCAGUCCGCGUCGGGUUAGUCGGGCCUUAGCCGAGGCCGAAAGGCGUAGGCGAUGGACAUCCGGUUAAUAUUCCGGAACCACUCAAGUGGAGCGAUGAAGGGACGCGGCGUGGUAGGUCAGCCUCUUAACGGAUUGAGGUGCCAAACGCGUAGGACGUUGAAGGGUGUAGGUAAGUCCGCACCCCGAGUCCGAAACGUGAUGGCGGUGCCUUAGAGCCACAAGUGAUUGAGCCAUGCCGCCUAGAAAAGCUUCUAAGCGUUGAUAUUUGAGUGACCGUACCGCAAACCGACACUGGUAGGUGGGUAGAAUAUACCAAGGGGAGCGAGAGAACCUUCGUUAAGGAAUUAGGCAAAUUUCCCCCGUACGUUCGCAAUAAAGGGGGCCUCUGGUGGUGAGCUUAAUCGCAAAGCUGCUGGAGGCCGCAGAGAAAUGGCUCUUCCAACUGUUUAACAAAAACACAGGUCUCUGCUAAGUCGAAAGACGAAGUAUAGGGGCUGACGCCUGCCCAGUGCUGGAAGGUUAAGGGGAGAGGUUAGGCGCAAGCCGAAGCUUUGAGCCGAAGCCCCAGUGAACGGCGGCCGUAACAAUAACGGUCCUAAGGUAGCGAAAUUCCUUGUCGGGUAAGGUCCGACCCGCACGAAUGGCGUAAUGAGAGGAGCACUGUCUCAACGAGGGACUCGGCGAACAUUGAAGGACGUGUGAAGAUACACGUGACCCGCAGCGGGACAAAAAGACCCCGUGAAGCUUUACUACAACUUGCCAUUGAGUUAGGGCUAAACCUGUGUAGUAUAGGUGGGAGGCUUUGAAGCUGGGACGCCAGUCUCGGUGGAGCCACCGUUGAAAUACCACCCUGGUUUAUUCUUGGCUCUAACCUGUCGCCGUUAUCCGGCAUGGGAACAGUGGCUGGUGGGUAGUUUGACUGGGGCGGUCGCCUCCGAAAGCGUAACAGAGGCGCCCAAAGGUUCCCUCAGGCUGAAUGGAAACCAGCCGUUGAGUGUAAAGGCACAAGGGAGCUUGACUGCAAGACCAACAAGUCGCGCAGGGACGAAAGUCGGGCUUAGUGAUCCCACGGUUCAGAGUGGAAUGGCCGUGGCUUACCGGAUAAAAGCUACUCCGGGGAUAACAGGGUAGUCUGGUCCAAGAGUUCAUAUCGACGACCAGGUUCGCCACCUCGAUGUCGGCUCAUCACAUCCUGGGGCUGGAUAAGGUCCCAAGGGUUGGGCUGUUCGCCCAUUAAAGUGGUACGUGAGCUGGGUUCAGACCGUCGUGAGACAGGUCGGUCUCUAUCCGCUGUGGGCGUAAGGGAUUUGAGAGAAGCUGCCCCUAGUACGAGAGGACCGGGGUGGACGGACCUCUAGUGUGCCAGUUGUUCUGCCAAGAGCAUUGCUGGGUAGCUACGUCCGGCAGAGAUAACCGCUGAAAGCAUCUAAGUGGGAAACUCGUCUCAAGAUUAGAUCCCUCAUCCGUAUGGAGUAAGACCGCUAGAAGACGACUAGUUUGAUAGGCGGCAGGUGUAAGCGCAGUAAUGUGUUCAGCUUAGCCGUACUAAUGGUCGAGGGCUUACGUU